GACGAACGCUGGCGGCGUGCUUAACACAUGCAAGUCGAACGGAAAGGCCCUGCUUUUGUGGGGUGCUCGAGUGGCGAACGGGUGAGUAACACGUGAGUAACCUGCCCUUGACUUUGGGAUAACUUCAGGAAACUGGGGCUAAUACCGGAUAGGAGCUCCUGCUGCAUGGUGGGGGUUGGAAAGUUUCGGCGGUUGGGGAUGGACUCGCGGCUUAUCAGCUUGUUGGUGGGGUAGUGGCUUACCAAGGCUUUGACGGGUAGCCGGCCUGAGAGGGUGACCGGCCACAUUGGGACUGAGAUACGGACCAGACUGCUACGGGAGGCAGCAGUGGGGAAUAUUGCACAAUGGGCGGAAGCCUGAUGCAGCAACGCCGCGUGCGGGAUGACGGCCUUCGGGUUGUAAACCGCUUUCGCCUGUGACGAAGAGUGAGUGACGGUAAUGGGUAAAGAAGCACCGGCUAACUACGUG
rnacentral:rRNA from 1 species